CCAGAAGGCCAGCAAGGAGGAUUCCUGUCUGCAGGCCAGGCUCUGUCAGCUCACCGCAGAGCUGCAGGAGCUCAGGGAGAUGGAGGAAGAUCUCCAGCGACAGGAGAGAGACGUGGAUGAAGACAACACUGUCACCAUCCCCUCUGCAGUAAACAAACAAACAUAAAAAGGAACCAGCCUGGUACCCAGCACUUGAGAAGCCGAGGCAGGAGGAAUCACAGUUCAAGGUUAGUGACAAACUGGGAAGACUGGAUAUACUUUCCUUUCAUCUUGCCCUCAGUUCACCACGGCCCCAGCGUGGCCCAGCCUAUCCACUUGGACAGUGCGCAGCUCUCACAGAAGUUCAUCAGCGACUACCUCUGGAGCCUGGUGGACACUGCAUGGUAGCCAGAGCCUUGACCUUGCAUAGAAUUGAGGUUGAAGGGGCCAAGAAAGGGAUCACUGUAAAAUUAAAUUCUAUAUGUAAACGAGUUCGUCAAUUU
rnacentral:lncRNA from 1 species